GGGGUGGUAGCUUAAUGGUAAAGCAAUCUGAUUGUCACUCAGAAUGGACCUAGGAGGUGAAACUCUAGAGGUCCUCAUCCGGGUUCGAGUCCUGGUCAUCCCG
rfam:Rhizophagus irregularis DAOM 181602 strain DAOM 197198 GLOINscaffold_588_Cont592 mitochondrial, whole genome shotgun sequence.